GACAUUGAGGAACCGAUCAUUGAUAAUGGGAGGUGGCUGUGGGUGAGAAAAUAGGGGCGCUCCCAUGUAAUUUAGCCUGAAUGGGGGCGGCCUCAAACCCCAAAAUCUGUGCCAGGGGGCUGCUUUAUACAAUAUAAAUGACCAUAAAUAUUUUAAUAUAUGUAUAUUUUAAUAAGGAAGGGGGGGGUUACAGAAUUCGAUAUGGAAUUCGGGCUCAAGAAAAAGUGCAGUGUUGAGAGUUCCUCAUGCACCCACAGCCCCCGCCAUUAUUGAUGACCAGUUUCUAAUGCAUGGGAUAAGAAUUAGAUAACUAAUAAUACUUAUUGACUGGGACCGAGGAAAGAACCCGUGACUGCCACAAAUAUUGGGAGUUGAGGAUGCACAAAACACACCCUUUCCCGAAUGUUCCAGUCAAUAUAUAGGUAGCUCAUUAUACAUCACGUCAAAGAAAAAAACAAAAAAAACAAGAAAGCUCCAUGACUGGAGCUAACUUAGAGCUGUUGCCAGUUGAAUUUAUGACUUUCACGUGAUACGCUCUCCUCCAAUGAGAUGCAUGAAUGCAUGAACUUUGACACUUGGUAUACAAUAGAACCUGUUUUAAUUUGUUUUCAAUUUUAUCGUUCUUAGAAACCAGGACCACCGGGACCCCAGGGACCACAAGGACGUCGAGGGAGUCCUGGGCCC